GAUGAACGCUGGCGGCGUGCCUAAUACAUGCAAGUCGAGCGAACAGAUGAGGAGCUUGCUCCUCUGACGUUAGCGGCGGACGGGUGAGUAACACGUGGAUAACCUACCUAUAAGACUGGGAUAACUUCGGGAAACCGGAGCUAACACCGGAUAAUAUAUUGAACCGCAUGGUUCAAUAGUGAAAGACGGUUUUGCUGUCACUUAUAGAUGGAUCCGCGCCGCAUUAGCUAGUUGGUAAGGUAACGGCUUACCAAGGCAACGAUGCGUAGCCGACCUGAGAGAGUGAUCGGCCACACUGGAGCUGAGACACGGUCCAGACUCCUACGGGAGGCAGCAGUAGGGAAUCUUCCGCAAUGGGCGAGAGCCUGACGGAGCAACGCCGCGUGAGUGAUGAAGGUCUUCGGGUCGUAAAACUCUGUUAUUAGGGAAGAACAAAUGUGUAAGUAACUAUGCACGGCUUGACGGUACCUAAUCAGAAGGCCACGGAUAACUACGUG
rnacentral:rRNA from 1 species